ensembl:snoRNA
GACCUCCUGGGAUCGCAUCUGGAGAGCCCCUAGUGUUCUGCCAGCUUCGGAAGCAGGAGGAAAAGCAAGCCUAGCAGAGGUACCCAUUCCAUUCCCAGCUUGUUCUGUAGCUGGUGAUUGGAAGACACUCUGCAACAAGU